rnacentral:rRNA from 1 species
AUUGAACGCUGGCGGCAUGCCUUACACAUGCAAGUCGAACGGCAGCACGGGUGCUUGCACCUGGUGGCGAGUGGCGAACGGGUGAGUAAUACAUCGGAACGUACCUUAUCGUGGGGGAUAACGCAGCGAAAGCUGUGCUAAUACCGCAUACGCCCUGAGGGGGAAAGCGGGGGAUCGCAAGACCUCGCGCGAUUAGAGCGGCCGAUGCCUGAUUAGCUUGUUGGUGGGGUAAAAGCCCACCAAGGCGACGAUCAGUAGCUGGUCUGAGAGGACGAUCCGCCACACUGGGACUGAGACACGGCCCAGACUCCUACGGGAGGCAGCAGUGGGGAAGUUUGGACAAUGGGGGCAACCCUGAUCCAGCAAUGCCGCGUGAGUGAAGAAGGCCUUCGGGUUGUAAAGCUCUUUUGUCAGGGAAGAAACACCGGCUCUAACACAGUCCGGGAAUGACGGUACCUGAAGAAUAAGCACCGGCUAACUACGUGCCAGCCGCCGCAGUAA